rnacentral:rRNA from 1 species
GACGAACGCUGGCGGCGUGCCUAAUACAUGCAAGUUGAGCGCUGAAGGUUGGUACUUGUACCAACUGGAUGAGCAGCGAACGGGUGAGUAACGCGUGGGGAAUCUGCCUUUGAGCGGGGGACAACAUUUGGAAACGAAUGCUAAUACCGCAUAAAAACUUUAAACACAAGUUUUAAGUUUGAAAGAUGCAAUUGCAUCACUCAAAGAUGAUCCCGCGUUGUAUUAGCUAGUUGGUGAGGUAAAGGCUCACCAAGGCGAUGAUACAUAGCCGACCUGAGAGGGUGAUCGGCCACAUUGGGACUGAGACACGGCCCAAACUCCUACGGGAGGCAGCAGUAGGGAAUCUUCGGCAAUGGACGAAAGUCUGACCGAGAAACGCCGCGUGAGUGAAGAAGGGUUUCGGAUCGUAAAACUCUGUUGGUAGAGAAGAACGUUGGUGAGAGUGGAAAGCUCAUCAAGUGACGGUAACUACCCAGAAAGGGACGGCUAACUACGUG